rnacentral:rRNA from 1 species
AUUGAACGCUGGCGGCAGGCCUAACACAUGCAAGUCGAGCGGAUGACGGGAGCUUGCUCCUGAAUUCAGCGGCGGACGGGUGAGUAAUGCCUAGGAAUCUGCCUGGUAGUGGGGGACAACGUGUCGAAAGGAACGCUAAUACCGCAUACGUCCUACGGGAGAAAGCAGGGGACCUUCGGGCCUUGCGCUAUCAGAUGAGCCUAGGUCGGAUUAGCUAGUUGGUGAGGUAAUGGCUCACCAAGGCGACGAUCCGUAACUGGUCUGAGAGGAUGAUCAGUCACACUGGAACUGAGACACGGUCCAGACUCCUACGGGAGGCAGCAGUGGGGAAUAUUGGACAAUGGGCGAAAGCCUGAUCCAGCCAUGCCGCGUGUGUGAAGAAGGUCUUCGGAUUGUAAAGCACUUUAAGUUGGGAGGAAGGGCAGUAAGCGAAUACCUUGCUGUUUUGACGUUACCGACAGAAUAAGCACCGGCUAACUCUGUGCCAGCAGCCGCGGUAAGAC